UCUGGUAAUGAUGGCAGAGAGGUCACACCCGUUCCCAUACCGAACACGGAAGUUAAGCUCUCUAGCGCCGAUGGU
rnacentral:rRNA from 17 species